UACGAAGGGGGCUAGCGUUGCUCGGAAUCACUGGGCGUAAAGGGUGCGUAGGCGGGUCUUUUAAGUCAGAGGUGAAAUCCUGGAGCUCAACUCCAGAACUGCCUUUGAUACUGAAGAUCUUGAGUUCGGGAGAGGUGAGUGGAACUGCGAGUGUAGAGGUGAAAUUCGUAGAUAUUCGCAAGAACACCAGUGGCGAAGGCGGCUCACUGGCCCGAUACUGACGCUGAGGCACGAAAGCGUGGGGAGCAAACAGGG
rnacentral:rRNA from 1 species